CUCACGAGUCAUGUUCACUUAAUUCCCCUUUCUUCCCCGUUCUGAUGCUCGGUUUGAACUUCAGCAAGUCGUCUUCAGCACAUCUAGAUGCCUAAUGCAUUGAGAGUUGCUGCCAUGUGAUUGGCUGAUUAGCAAUAUGUAUUACCAAGCAAUUGAACAGGUGUACCUAAUAAA